CUACGGGGCGCUGCAGACGAGAAAACUUUGCAAUGUGCGAAAGCACGACAAGGUUAAUCCGAGUGGUUUGUGCUAAACGAACCUUUUGACAGUCCUAGAAACACUGUUGAAUAAGGGGUGGGCAAGUUCUGGUGUCAGCCGCCGCGGUAAAACCAGCACCUCAAGUGGUCAGGAUGAUUAUUGGGCCUAAAGCAUCCGUAGCCGGCUCUGUUAGUUUUCGGUUAAAUCUGUACGCUCAACGUACAGGCUGCCGGGAAUACUGCAGAGCUAGGGAGUGGGAGAGGUAGACGGUACUCGGUAGGAAGGGGUAAAAUCCUUUGAUCUAUUGAUGACCACCUGUGGCGAAGGCGGUCUACCAGAACACGUCCGACGGUGAGGGAUGAAAGCUGGGGGAGCAAACUGGAUUAGAUACCCCUGUAGUC
rnacentral:rRNA from 1 species